rnacentral:rRNA from 1 species
AUGCACCAAAAAUUUGAGACCACCACUGCUCAACUUCAAUCAGAGCUUUCUGAUUUGAAGACUCACCUAGACCUGCAAGAGGCUGAGACCCAGAAGGCGAACUCAAAGUUCGAAUUUAGUGUGGCUGAGGCAGAAAAAUUGAAAGCCGGCGUUGAGGUUGAUAAAACCGCCUGGGCUCAAGAGAAAAUUGCCUUGACACAAUGGGCUGAGAAGGCGGAGGCGGCUCUCCAGGAAGCGACCACUGAACUCACUGGCUUAAAAUGCCAGGUGUCUCAGAUGGUUUCUGCUAUCUUUGGCCCUAGGAGUAGCAACCUCAACCAAGACAUGCUUGUGAAGCUAAAGGUGGUUUGCACAUUGGUGGAGCAGCUUUACACUGGUUCUCAGCGCGCAUUGGCCACAAUUUCUCCGUCCAAUGAAGCCCCCACACUCUUGGUUGAUGUGUUAAGGAAACUUUCCGUCUUGCCCGAGAGGUUUAAUGAAAUGAAGCAAUCAUCAGCGAGAGCCGGGGCUGUGAUUGCCUUAAGCCGGGCCAAAGCAUGGUUACCGGAGUUAGACUCAGCUGAUAUCUCUAUUGGGUAUCCAAGCUUCAAGGAAGACGUCACUCCGUUUGACCAUAAGGACUUUGCUGCUUGCGUGAAGGAUAUAUGUCCUUUGGCCAGUCUGAUCGCCAAUGAGACAGACCUCACCAAAUACCAACCGGCUUACGAUGUGGGAAAUCAGAAGAUGCCAAGACCGUCUUACAAAGUGAAAGACCUGAUCCCCCCAAUCUGUAAGCACACUUUUGCUCCUGAAGUUGACCCGUCCAAGCUAAUUGAUGAUGAAGCUGAGUUCCAAGCUUUGAGUGGCAUUGACUGGUCGUCACCAACCUUCCAGGAUGUAGAAUAG